rnacentral:tRNA from 1 species
GCCGGUGUAGCUCAGUUGGCAGAGCAACGCUCUUGUAAAGCGAAGGUCGGGGGUUCGAGCCCCUCCACCGGCACCA